ACAGUUUUGAACAAAUUCAUUUCUUCACAAAUUAGGGUGAAGCAAGAGAGAAAUAUAGAGUAAGAGACUGUCCAUUUUUCACUUACAGUUUCGCUUACUUAGCUAACAAAUGCAGCUAGCUAGUUAGCCUACCAAAACAUCCAGCACAGAAGGAUUCUAUGUUAGCUAGCUGGAUAUGACUAUCCAACACAACACUGGAACUCUUCCAAGUCAAGGUCACAUACAGCUGAUGUGUUGUUGUGCAUUGAAGUCCACAAGCAGAGGAGGAGAGCGCAUGGAUGCGAGAAGGAAUAUAACGUGGCUGUGUGUUUACGUGUGAUUAGGGGUGUAUUCAUUCCGCCGAUUCUGUUGAAAAACGUUUCUUAAAUGGAAGCAAACGGAACAAAACGGGGAUAAACAUACUUGAAUUUGUCCGAUAGAAACUCUUGUUUGCAACUGUUAGACUAAUGAAUACAUCCUAUAUCAGCUUGAUGCAGGCAAGAGUGUGCAAGGCGGUAUUGAAUUUCAUUGUCUGUCCAUGUGUCAAAUUGGUAUCAAUGUCACGUGUGCACCUGCGUUGUAAACUUUCAUUCAUAGGCUAUGUUGUAGCGACCUCAUGAUGGUUAUAGGGAACAUUUGAGUAUCACGUAGUAGCCUAAACCUGUCCAUGUUACAUUGAACUGGGUUAAUGGAAUAUGAAUGACAGUCAUCCAAUAUGCUGUAAUAGAAAUAAGGCCAUGGUCAUGACAUUUUUUGGUCAUCCCUCAUCUUUAACUGCCCUGACCACCACUGGUCCAGUUUGUAUCGUAGUGGUUGUACGUUCGCCAAUAAAAUGGAGGGUUUACUUACUCGUCGACGUAGUCACGUCAGGGGUCCAGCUCAUUUUCCUCUUUUGCGCGGUUUCUUCCUCUUUCAAUUCACAGGGGUUAAGGCCUGGUCCAGAGUCAGCAGUAUGUCCACUCUCCCGACUCGUUGAAGUAGAAAUCGUCCAAAUCGAGCAUCUGGCCACAUCUGGCAACAUCUGGCAAUGCACUUAAGGAGAGAAGAAGGA